AAUUAUCUUCCAAGGUAUAACAGUUAGUGUUUACUAAAUAUUUGAAAACUAUAGUUUUACAACUGCCAAAUUUCAAUCUCAAACAUGGUGUAUAAUACCUAAUGGACACAAUAAUUUUCAAAUAGCAUUAAAUAAUCGUUAAAAGUCUCAAAGUUGGAUUUUAAGUCAUGGGGCAUCCUUCAUUUGCAAAAGAUACAUAUUUGGUUGGUGCACAAAUUCUUCCAUAAAGUUUAUUCAUACAUAGCCAAACGCAUCCCCUGCUUAACUGAAUUGCUGCAUGCUCAAUUAAAUAUCUAUUAAAAGGCUCCCAAUCCCAAAGAAAUCCGCAAUAUCAUAAUUAAUAUUAAAAUAUUAAUUAACAGGAAGCUCAAAUAAUGUUCUUGCAACCAAGUACCAGCUGCAGCCAAAGAAAAGAGCAAGCCAGCAAAAAAAAAACUUCUCCUGAAAUACAUAGCAUCAAGGAUUCCCUUAUGCAUCGUAUUGGUAACAUGGGUUCUUGUAACACCCCAGUUUGAAUUUCAAAGGCAAAUAUGUCUACAACUCACAUAUGAAUUUAAAUAACUCUUUACAAACGAUAAAAUUCGAGCCUCAAAUACAAAAGCCAGCGGAAUAACUUAAAAAUUUAGCCAAACAAUCUACCAUCCUCAAUUCAAAUCCAUCUUCUUACACAUCACAAAUCAAUCCUGACUUCUGAAAACUGAAUCACAAUAAACUAUAACGAGUACAAAACUCAGUAAGCAAACUAGUUUUUCUUAUACUAAAAUACAUACAUACUUAUACAUAAUGCAGAUGGAUAAUAUGCCAUGAUCUUUUGGAAAUACUGUAAAACAAAUUCAUCAAAAUCUCUUUCUGUCACUUUCAAACUUCCAUAUUUUCUUUCAAUAAAAUACAUAUUCUGCAAUUGUGGCACUUUGCGUUGUGCGUGGCACUUUGCGUCGCUCUGACUCUUAAGAGGUGGCCUCCGCAUAGUCUCAAGAGGUGGCCCCCAAUAUAAAAUCUCAUAAAACAGAAAUCUCAUUUGCUAAAAUCCACUUUCUCAUUCAUAGAAAACUCAUUGCAUUUUCGUACUUAUGCCAAUGAAAUUUCACACAUACAUAUACCCAUGUACGUAAUCACGCCCAGCACAUAACAACACAUCACAUAAACACAUGAGCAGAGACAUAUAAAUCCAUAAUCGUACGUAGAAAAAAUAGGCUCUUCACUCAAGUCAAACAUAUAUAUUGUUUAUUGUGAUUCAUUUAAAAGUCUAUUUAACUUACCUCUUGGCAUCCUCAUGCAACAAAUGCGUAUUGAUAUCAUCAACCUAAAAUCAUCAAUAAAUUUCUUAUAAAAUAUAAUCAAGUCUCAAUAAUAAACUCUAAUUUCCUCAGCUAUCUCAAUUUAAACAUCUCAUAAGCUCAACCUCAAAUGUCCUCAAUAAUCGGCCCUCAAAACAUAACAGUCCAUAUUCUCCGAUUUUUUAAUAAAUUAUUCCCUCAUUGGAAAACUCUCAAAUUUUACAGACCAUAUGCUGACAUAUUGAAAGUUCACUGAUGAAAAUUUCAUAACUUGAUUCCUUCAAAAACUAUUGAAAAUAAUUGACGUUUCAGACAUCAUCAAUGCUGUCAAACAGUUUUCUGUUUUGCACACACUUGCUUUAAAAAUACAAAAAAAUUUAUUUCUUUAUCAUAAAAUCAUGAAAAUUUACAGACUCAUACUAGACAUAUGUAAAAAUCUCUGAUCCAAAUUUUAUAAUUUUUGAAGAAGUCUAGCUAUGGUAAAAAUGGUUUCGUAAUUCACGUUAUGCACUGAAAUCAUAAAUUUUCAGGUUUCAGACUUGAAUUUGAAAAAUCGUAACUAAUUGAAAUCUUAUCCGAUUAACUUGAAACAAGUUUCAAAACAUUCUAGAUGAUGUCUAGUUUAACAUAUCCAAAUAUCAGAAUCAAAAUCAAUUUGUAAAAAUUACUAAGAUUUUCGUAAUAAUUCACUGUCAGCAUAUUUCUGCAAAAUCUUAAGUUUCUACUUCUAUUGCAAUCAUGCUUCUCCAUAACGAAUUAAUAAAGAAAACCAAGAAUUAAAACUUACCUCCAAAUCCAAAUCUUCUCUCAACAAUACCCAAUUCAAAUUAUGCAACUUGAUCUCAUGUGUUGCCCAUGACAGAAUAAAGAAGAAGACUUUCUUCUUUUCUUUUCUCUCUUUUCUCUCCAUCUCUCUCUCUCAUUUUUCCUAUUGUUUUUUUUUUCUCAACCGAUCUCUCUUUCCCUCUCUCUUAUAAUGAGAAAGGCAUACUAUUCUAUUUAUACUAGGGUAAAAAAUAGAUCACUAAAAUUAAAAGAUUUAAAUACCCUUAGGAGAAUUAGGGUAUUACAGUUCCCAUCAAUAACUAUCCUGAAAACUUCAGCACAGCUGUAGUCAAACGGCUACUGCCUAUUGUCACGGCCCGCUUGUUCCCAAGUUGUGCCGUGCGGCCUUAGGCGCCAAAUCACACUCUCUUAACCCUAAGUUAGCCUUGCACACUCCGAACGUUGCUGGAUUCAAAAGUCGAAAUGAGUAUUCACACAAACUCACUCAAGAUAGGAGGAAAGAACUCUUAUUGCUCAAAAAAAGCUUACAAUGCUUUGUGUGCUGGAACUUGUGUGUUUCUAGUGUGUCUUGAACCAAA
rnacentral:lncRNA from 1 species